rnacentral:rRNA from 1 species
CCUACGGGAGGCAGCAGUGGGGAAUAUUGCACAAUGGGGGAAACCCUGAUGCAGCAACGCCGUGUGAGUGAAGAAGCGUUUCGGCGCGUAAAGCUCUGUCAGCGGGGAAGAAAGAAGACGGUACCCGACCAAGAAGCCCCGGCUAACUACGUGCCAGCAGCCGCGGUAAUACGUAGGGGGCAAGCGUUAUCCGGAUUUACUGGGUGUAAAGGGAGCGUAGACGGCAGUGCAAGUCUGGAGUGAAAGGCGGGGGCUCAACCCCCGGACUGCUCUGGAAACUGUACGGCUGGAG